rnacentral:rRNA from 1 species
AGCGAACGCUGGCGGCAGGCCUAACACAUGCAAGUCGAACGAAGUCUUCGGACUUAGUGGCGGACGGGUGAGUAACACGUGGGAACGUGCCUUUAGGUUCGGAAUAACUCAGGGAAACUUGUGCUAAUACCGAAUGUGCCCUUCGGGGGAAAGAUUUAUCGCGCUUUAGAGCGGCCCGCGUCUGAUUAGCUAGUUGGUGAGGUAAAGGCUCACCAAGGCGACGAUCAGUAGCUGGUCUGAGAGGAUGAUCAGCCACAUUGGGACUGAGACACGGCCCAAACUCCUACGGGAGGCAGCAGUGGGGAAUCUUGCGCAAUGGGCGAAAGCCUGAAGCAGCCAUGCCGCGUGAAUGAUGAAGGUCUUAGGAUUGUAAAAUUCUUUCACCGGGGACGAUAAUGACGGUACCCGGAGAAGAAGCCCCGGCUAACUUCGUGCCAGCCGCCGCAGUAA